rnacentral:rRNA from 1 species
UACGUAGGGUGCGAGCGUUGUCCGGAAUUAUUGGGCGUAAAGAGCUUGUAGGCGGUUUGUCGCGUCUGCUGUGAAAAUCCGGGGCUCAACCCCGGACUUGCAGUGGGUACGGGCAGACUAGAGUGUGGUAGGGGGAGACUGGAAUUCCUGGUGUAGCGGUGGAAUGCGCAGAUAUCAGGAGGAACACCGAUGGCGAAGGCAGGUCUCUGGGCCACUACUGACGCUGAGAAGCGAAAGCAUGGGGAGCGAACAGG